UACGUAGGGCGCAAGCGUUGUCCGGAAUUAUUGGGCGUAAAGAGCUCGUAGGCGGCUUGUCACGUCGGGUGUGAAAGACCGGGGCUUAACCCCGGUUCUGCAUUCGAUACGGGCUAGCUAGAGUGUGGUAGGGGAGAUCGGAAUUCCUGGUGUAGCGGUGAAAUGCGCAGAUAUCAGGAGGAACACCGGUGGCGAAGGCGGAUCUCUGGGCCAAUACUGACGCUGAGGCGCGAAAGCUAGGGGAGCAAACGGG
rnacentral:rRNA from 1 species